rnacentral:rRNA from 1 species
GACGAACGCUGGCGGCGUGCUUAACACAUGCAAGUCGAACGGAAAGGCCCUGCUUUUGUGGGGUGCUCGAGUGGCGAACGGGUGAGUAACACGUGAGUAACCUGCCCUUGACUUUGGGAUAACUUCAGGAAACUAGGGCUAAUACCGGAUAGGAGCUCCUGCUGCAUGGUGGGGGUUGGAAAGUUUCGGCGGUUGGGGAUGGACUCGCGGCUUAUCAGCUUGUUGGUGGGGUAGUGGCUUACCAAGGCUUUGACGGGUAGCCGGCCUGGGAGGGUGACCGGCCACAUUGGGACUGCGAUACGGCCCAGACUCCUACGGGAGGCAGCAGUGGGGAAUAUUGCACAAUGGGCGGAAGCCUGAUGCAGUAACGCCGCGUGCGGGAUGACGGCCUUCGGGUUGUAAACCGCUUUCGCCUGUGACGAAGCGUGAGUGACGGUAAUGGGUAAAGAAGCACCGGCUAACUACGUG